rnacentral:lncRNA from 1 species
GCUUGUCAUGCUGGUUUUCCUGAUGAACUCAGAUGUUCCCAUCAUCCAAGGAAACUGGGACCUUGUUGGCACUGAGAAUGGCUUUGGUUCACUUUGAGGGAGCUCUGAUCCUCACUCUCUGUGGAAUCAUUGGAACACAUGUAAGAAUUCUGAGAAGUAAGGAAACAUAUCCUACUUCCCUCUUCCACCUGCUGGUAUGAGUUGGAAAAUUCAACAGCGUCACUGAAAACAUUUGGAACUUCUAUCAGCUUUUCUAGAUUUUCUUCAAAGGAAAAUUAC